rnacentral:rRNA from 1 species
UACCAGCACCCCGAGUGGUCGGGACGAUUAUUGGGCCUAAAGCAUCCGUAGCCGGUCAUGCAAGUCUUCCGUUAAAUCCAGCCGCUCAACGGUUGGGCUGCGGAGGAUACUACGUGGCUAGGAGGCGGGAGAGGCAAGCGGUACUCAGUGGGUAGGGGUAAAAUCCUUUGAUCCAUUGAAGACCACCAGUGGCGAAGGCGGCUUGCCAGAACGCGCUCGACGGUGAGGGAUGAAAGCUGGGGAGCAACCGG